AUAUCAAUAAGCGGAGGAAAAGAAACCAACAGGGAUUGCCCCAGUAACGGCGAGUGAAGCGGCAACAGCUCAAAUUUGAAAUCUGGCUCUCGGGCCCGAGUUGUAAUUUGUAGAGGAUGCUUUUGGUGAGGUGCCUUCCGAGUUCCCUGGAACGGGACGCCAUAGAGGGUGAGAGCCCCGUCUGGUUGGACACCGAUCCUCUGUAAAGCUCCUUCGACGAGUCGAGUAGUUUGGGAAUGCUGCUCUAAAUGGGAGGUAUAUGUCUUCUAAAGCUAAAUACCGGCCAGAGACCGAUAGCGCACAAGUAGAGUGAUCGAAAGAUGAAAAGAACUUUGAAAAGAGAGUUAAAAAGUACGUGAAAUUGUUGAAAGGGAAGCGCUUGUGACCAGACUUGGGCUUGGUUGAUCAUCCGGGGUUCUCCCCGGUGCACUCUUCCGGCUCAGGCCAGCAUCAGUUCGCCCUGGGGGAUAAAGGCUUCGGGAAUGUGGCUCUCUCCGGGGAGUGUUAUAGCCCGCUGCGUAAUACCCUGUGGCGGACUGAGGUUCGCGCAUUCGCAAGGAUGCUGGCGUAAUGGUCAUCAGUGA
rnacentral:rRNA from 1 species